AUUGAACGCUGGCGGCAGGCCUAACACAUGCAAGUCGAGCGGUAGCACAGAGAGCUUGCUCUCGGGUGACGAGCGGCGGACGGGUGAGUAAUGUCUGGGAAACUGCCUGAUGGAGGGGGAUAACUACUGGAAACGGUAGCUAAUACCGCAUAACGUCGCAAGACCAAAGUGGGGGACCUUCGGGCCUCAUGCCAUCAGAUGUGCCCAGAUGGGAUUAGCUAGUAGGUGGGGUAACGGCUCACCUAGGCGACGAUCCCUAGCUGGUCUGAGAGGAUGACCAGCCACACUGGAACUGAGACACGGUCCAGACUCCUACGGGAGGCAGCAGCGGGGAAUAUUGCACAAUGGGCGCAAGCCUGAUGCAGCCAUGCCGCGUGUGUGAAGAAGGCCUUCGGGUUGUAAAGCACUUUCAGCGGGGAGGAAGGCGUUAAGGUUAAUAACCUUGGCGAUUGACGUUACCCGCAGAAGAAGCACCGGCUAACUCCGUGCCAGCAGCCGCGGUAAUACGGAGGGUGCAAGCGUUAAUCGGAAUUACUGGGCGUAAAGCGCACGCAGGCGGUCUGUCAAGUCGGAUGUGAAAUCCCCGGGCUCAACCUGGGAACUGCAUUCGAAACUGGCAGGCUAGAGUCUUGUAGAGGGGGGUAGAAUUCCAGGUGUAGCGGUGAAAUGCGUAGAGAUCUGGAGGAAUACCGGUGGCGAAGGCGGCCCCCUGGACAAAGACUGACGCUCAGGUGCGAAAGCGUGGGGAGCAAACAGGAUUAGAUACCCUGGUAGUCCACGCCGUAAACGAUGUCGAUUUGGAGGUUGUGCCCUUGAGGCGUGGCUUCCGGAGCUAACGCGUUAAAUCGACCGCCUGGGGAGUACGGCCGCAAGGUUAAAACUCAAAUGAAUUGACGGGGGCCCGCACAAGCGGUGGAGCAUGUGGUUUAAUUCGAUGCAACGCGAAGAACCUUACCUGGUCUUGACAUCCACAGAACUUAGCAGAGAUGCUUUGGUGCCUUCGGGAACUGUGAGACAGGUGCUGCAUGGCUGUCGUCAGCUCGUGUUGUGAAAUGUUGGGUUAAGUCCCGCAACGAGCGCAACCCUUAUCCUUUGUUGCCAGCGGUCCGGCCGGGAACUCAAAGGAGACUGCCAGUGAUAAACUGGAGGAAGGUGAGGAUGACGUCAAGUCAUCAUGGCCCUUACGACCAGGGCUACACACGUGCUACAAUGGCAUAUACAAAGAGAAGCGACCUCGCGAGAGCAAGCGGACCUCAUAAAGUAUGUCGUAGUCCGGAUUGGAGUCUGCAACUCGACUCCAUGAAGUCGGAAUCGCUAGUAAUCGUAGAUCAGAAUGCUACGGUGAAUACGUUCCCGGGCCU
rnacentral:rRNA from 1 species